GCUGGGGCUGACCCCAUCUCUCAAGAUCACAUUGAUACCCGGGCCCGGGCCCUGCCCCGGCCGGCUGCGGGCAGGGCAGUAUCAUGGGAAAAUGCACCCGCUUAAAAGGGAGCGGAGGAAGGCAAAAAAAAUUAAAGGCUUGAGGCAGUUUUGGUGGUACUUAGCAGGGAAAAUUACUCUGGCAAAUAAUAGAACCUACUGCUGAGAUCUUCUUCUGCUGUGGUGCUUACACUGAGUAAGGUUCAGUUAAUUUCAGCAACAGUUUAAAAAAAUACAGUAGUAAAGGAGGUGAUGUAUGAGGUGCAAGGCAAGACUACAAGGAACAGUUACAGACUGCCACAAGAGAAACUCUAGCUGAAAAUAAAAAUGAGAAAAUAAUUCUUCACUAUGAGCAAGGUGAAGCCCUAAAAUAAGCUCAAAUAGGCUGAAGAAUCUGCAUCCUUGUAGAAGUCUAUAGCUUGGUUACACAGGACACUGAGCUUCCUGACUUAACUUUGAAGUUGCUUGUGCUUGAGCAGGAGGUGGGGCUAGAAGUCCUCCAGCAAACCUUUCUGUACACCUAUGAAGUUUAUCUUUGUCAUUUGCUCAUUAUUCCCAUCUUCUCUCCUGUUGUGACAAUUUCUGCUCAGGGAGUGACAUCUUUGAAUACUUGUUACAUCUUUGAGUGGAACAAAGAAUCAAUGACUGAGAAUUCAUAAUGUGAAAAUUCACAACUAAAACUUGCUGAAAACAACCUUGAGUUUGCAGUAACCCACUGAACAAAAUAUCUUGUUGCCACAAAAAAACACCAAAAAAAACCAAAAAAAAACCCCACCCAAACAUGACUGAUUUAAGGAUGGGUGUGUUUGUUUCCUUGUUUGUAUUUAAAGAUUGUUAGUCUGUCAUUUGUAGGCUUAAAUUUCAGGAACUUUGAGACUCCAGCAUCAUAGGGUUGUACAUAUAGACUCUUUCUAAAUCAAAGAGAGCAAGCUGAAUCUUCAGGAAUUUUUUUGUUUAGCUGCAAAACCGUAUGGAAACUUUCAGUCCACAUAGUCUUUAUGAAUUUGUGAAGCUGCACUCACUUCAUCAGCAAGAACCUUGGAUGAAUUCAAGACUAGAAAAAAGCUCUAGAAGUCUGCUUAGCAGAAGGUUUUAUUGCUUGCUCCUAUGAAUGCAAAAAAGCCCAAGGCUGCUAAAUCAGGAUUACACAUUGAGUUCCAGGUUGUUGUCACAAAUACUGGCUGAGAGGUAGAAUCCCUUGUGUCCCCACAGCUCUCCUCAGCUGAUGGCUGAGGGUUGCUUUGAUGACACAGAACCCAACUGGGGAACAAGGCAGAAGAAAUGUGGGCUCAGGGUGAUUUUUAGCAUUGUGCCACAGAUGCCAGAGGAGAGAACCCCCUUUGAAACUGGCAAUACUCAAUGAACAUCACAACUGCCAGGGCUGCAGUGACUGCAGGCAGCACUCCUGUGUAUGCCUGAGCUAAUAUGAUUAGCAUCAACUGUGCUGUGAACUCAGGAUCUUCAAAGAGGCUGAAGCUCAAGAACUGAGUCAAAUUCAGAAACACAGGAGCUGUUUGAGGUCAGCCACUUCAAGAUUCUCCAACUUGAAGAGAAAGACCACAGAGCAAUUCUUAAUUGAGCAGUAUCACAGGGCUCCUUUUCACAGUGGGCCAUCGAUCACAACACCCAAAACCAAAGCACACUUUCACUAGUUUGGUGCUUACAGUCUUUCACAGAUACUUCACAAAAGCAAGAGGAAGAGACAGAUGUGAGAGAUGUCUCUUUCAGAAGAUACUUUCUUUCCUUUUAAGUCCUCCAAUUAUAUAACUCAUUUAUGGAUCUAUAAUUCAUAGGUACCAGUUAGGCACAGUAUACAUUAGUCACAUUAUACAUUAAAUACUAAUAAUACUCCAUUAAAACAUCCAUUUUUUAUUUUCUCUCACCAAAACUAUAGUGCUUCUGAAGACUAACUUUGCAGGUAACUUCACUGAUGUAUUAUUAGGUGUAAACCAGCUCCAUUAAAAUGUUUAUGAACACACCCCCCAAACCUACAGUGCACACCUUUUAUGUUGCUUUUUUUUCACUAACAAGAUUAGCAAUCUUCAUAGCUAGGAAUGGUUAACGUAAAUCAUUAUAUAUUUGAUUCCAUUUUUGAGAACAAAAUUUUAGCUGUACCUCUAGGAACCACCACCAGUUGGUGUUCAUACCAUGAUUACAAAAAAGUAGACAAGAAAAUCCAAACACAGUUAACACACUGAAGAGUAAAACCACUGCAAAGGAGAAGAUGAAAAUAAGACACUUACGUUACCAGAAGUUCAGACUUCUCAGAAA